rnacentral:rRNA from 1 species
UAAUACGUAGGUGACAAGCGUUAUCCGGAAUUACUGGGCGUAAAGCGCACGCAGGCGGCUGCUUAAGUCUGACGUGAAAUCUCCUGGCUUAACUGGGAGGGGUCGUUGGAAACUGAGUAGCUUGAGGCAGUGAGAGGGGUGUAGAAUUCCCGGUGUAGUGGUGGAAUGCGUAGAUAUCGGGAGGAAUACCAGAGGCGAAGGCGACACCCUGGCACUGACCUGACGCUCAUGUGCGAAAGCGUGGGGAGCGAACGGGAUUAGAUACCCCGGUAGUCCACGCUGUAAACGAUGAGUACUAGGUGUAGGUGGAGUGAAAUCCGUCUGUGCCGAAGCAAACGCGCUAAGUACUCCGCCUGGGGAGUACGGCCGCAAGGCUAAAACUCAAAUGAAUUGACGG